AUUGAACGCUGGCGGCAUGCCUUACACAUGCAAGUCGAACGGCAGCACGGGUGCUUGCACCUGGUGGCGAGUGGCGAACGGGUGAGUAAUACAUCGGAACAUGUCCUGUAGUGGGGGAUAGCCCGGCGAAAGCCGGAUUAAUACCGCAUACGAUCUACGGAUGAGAGCGGGGGACCUUCGGGCCUCGCGCUAUGGGGUUGGCCGAUGGCUGAUUAGCUAGUUGGUGGGGUAAAGGCCUACCAAGGCGACGAUCAGUAGCUGGUCUGAGAGGACGACCAGCCACACUGGGACUGAGACACGGCCCAGACUCCUACGGGAGGCAGCAGUGGGGAAUUUUGGACAAUGGGCGAAAGCCUGAUCCAGCAAUGCCGCGUGUGUGAAGAAGGCCUUCGGGUUGUAAAGCACUUUUGUCCGGAAAGAAAUCCUUGGCCCUAAUACGGUCGGGGGAUGACGGUACCGGAAGAAUAAGCACCGGCUAACUACGUG
rnacentral:rRNA from 1 species